AAUAAGUUUAGUUUUUUGUGUUUGAUAUAAUGUUAGACUUUUUAUUUUAUUUAAAAUUUUUUUGUAAUUAAUAUUUUUAUUGUUAUUAGACGAUAAAACAUGAAUAGUAAUUUAUGCGUGACUAAUUUUUUUUGAGCUUUUUAUAAAUUUUUUAAAUAAGACGGAUGGUUAAAUGUUGAACAAACAAAA
rnacentral:pre_miRNA from 1 species